rnacentral:rRNA from 1 species
UAAAGCGUGCGCAGGCGGUUUUGUAAGACUGUCGUGAAAUCCCCGGGCUCAACCUGGGAAUGGCGAUGGUGACUGCAAGGCUAGAGUUUGGCAGAGGGGGGUAGAAUUCCACGUGUAGCAGUGAAAUGCGUAGAUAUGUGGAGGAACACCGAUGGCGAAGGCAGCCCCCUGGGUCAAAACUGACGCUCAUGCACGAAAGCGUGGGGAGCAAACAGGAUUAGAUACCUUGU